rnacentral:pre_miRNA from 1 species
UGGGUUGGUGGGACCUCCAGCGUCAGUUGACCAGAACUCUGCAGGUUCACAUCAGCCCCAU